rnacentral:rRNA from 1 species
UACGUAGGGGGCAAGCGUUGUCCGGAUUUAUUGGGCGUAAAGAGCUCGUAGGCGGUCUGUCGCGUCUGCUGUGAAAACUCGGGGCUUAACUCCGGGCCUGCAGUGGGUACGGGCAGACUAGAGUGCGGUAGGGGAGACUGGAAUUCCUGGUGUAGCGGUGAAAUGCGCAGAUAUCAGGAGGAACACCGGUGGCGAAGGCGGGUCUCUGGGCCGUAACUGACGCUGAGGAGCGAAAGCGUGGGGAGCGAACAGG